CACCACCAACAUACAACACAGGCUUCUUAGACUCCGAAAUCAACCUAACAAUCUGCUCCAAAUGAGAAUCUUCCGGAGGUUUAGGCAUCCUAGACAUAUAACCAGGUAAUCUCAUAGCCUGUUCCCAAUUAGGAAUCGCAAGCUGUUGUUGAAUAUCUUUAGGAACAUCAACCAAAACAGGUCCAGGUCUACCAGAAGUAGCUAAAAAGAAAGCUUCCUCAAUAAUCCUAGGAAUAUCUUCAACAUCCAUCACAAGAUAGUUAUGCUUCGUAAUCGAACGCGUAACCUCAACAAUCGGAGUUUCUUGAAACGCAUCAGUACCAAUCAUCCUACGAGGGACUUGACCUGUGAUUGCUACAAGAGGAACACUAUCUAACAAG
rnacentral:lncRNA from 1 species